UGAUGCAUCUGAUGUAUAAAUCCAGUGGCAGAUCCGGGAAAGAGCUCUUAGUUCCGAUCCGUUUGUACGGGGAACAUGUGGUUGCAACCCCUCUUUAAUUGCCUGUUCGAUUUUUAUGUUUGCAGUGUCGAAAAGGGAGAUAGACAGCAGUUUUAUCAAGAAGUUAUGUGAAAGUUCUGCUAUACAUCCGACAGUCAGGAGUUAUUCUGAAGUACACAUGUCGACCAGAGGCAUAGAACAGAGAGGAGAGGUUUUGAAGUACCAGAUGCUUUUCUGAGAUUCCAAUUUGAACUAAAGAAAGCAAUAUAUAAAGAUAUGUAGGAGAAAUAAUCUAUAUGAAUAAAGUUA
rnacentral:lncRNA from 1 species